GAAAUCACCGGCCUAGCCGGUAUAAAAUUCUAUCCACCCUUGUGUGCAAAUAAUGGAAAAAGAGAGAAAAUUGGAUACUUUUUGUAUCCAACUUCUCUAAAAUUCUUUAUAAACUCCAUCAAAUUUUGAAUGAAAACAAUUUUUUUUAAUAAAAAAAAUAUUAUA
rnacentral:misc_RNA from 1 species